GCAGUUACCUUUUAGAAAUCGUUUAUUUUUUUUCAAAAUGGUAGAUGUACAGAAUAUCGGCAAGUUAUCGGUUAUCGGCCUGAAAGUUAACAGAUUAUCGGUAUCGGCUCUAAAAAAAUCAAUAUCGGUCGAUCCCUAGUACAUAAUGGUCGUUAUGUUUUUGUAAGUCAUUUGUUCUUAGGUAGUUGGGGGUUGUAAUGG